rnacentral:rRNA from 1 species
AGAGUUUGAUCAUGGCUCAGAUUGAACGCUGGCGGCAUGCCUUACACAUGCAAGUCGAACGGAUUGAGGGGCUUGCUCCUCAGUUAGUGGCGAACGGGUGAGUAAUGCAUCGGAACGUGCCCAGUCGUGGGGGAUAACUACUCGAAAGAGUAGCUAAUACCGCAUACGCCCUGAGGGGGAAAGCGGGGGACUCGCAAGACCUCGCGCGAUUGGAGCGGCCGAUGUCAGAUUAGCUAGUUGGUAGGGUAAAAGCCUACCAAGGCGACGAUCUGUAGCUGGUCUGAGAGGACGACCAGCCACACUGGGACUGAGACACGGCCCAGACUCCUACGGGAGGCAGCAGUGGGGAAUUUUGGACAAUGGGCGAAAGCCUGAUCCAGCCAUGCCGCGUGAGUGAAGAAGGCCUUCGGGUUGUAAAGCUCUUUCGGACAGAAAGAAAUCGCAUGAACUAAUACUUUGUGCGGAUGACGGUACUGUAAGAAGAAGCACCGGCUAACUACGUGCCAGCAGCCGCGGUAAUACGUAGGGUGCGAGCGUUAAUCGGAAUUACUGGGCGUAAAGGGUGCGCAGGCGGUUAUAUAAGACAGAUGUGAAAUCCCCGGGCUCAACCUGGGAACUGCGUUUGUGACUGUAUGACUAGAGUACGGUAGAGAGGGGUGGAAUUCCUGGUAGCAGUGAAAUGCGUAGAUAUCAGGAGGAACAUCGAUGGCGAAGGCAGCCCCUUGGACCUGUACUGACGCUCAUGCACGAAAGCGUGGGGAGCAAACAGGAUUAGAUACCCCAGUAGUCC